AAGUUGCUGAGGAGUCUCAUAAUAGGACGAAACGGUCGUCCAGUGU
rnacentral:hammerhead_ribozyme from 1 species